rnacentral:lncRNA from 1 species
AGUUUUCUGUUUCCAUGUUUCUUAGUGCAUCUUUUCUCAUUAAAGACCAUGGUUGAUACAACCCUCAGAUUCUAUAUUUGAGCUUGAAUUUCUAGUCCCUUUUGUCAGUGAAGAAGAUAAGAGAAAAUAGAAAAGAAUUGCAUUUGUUGGCAUUUUUGGGGAGUCCCUUCAUUUGUAUUCUCUCUUCAUUUAUCACUGUACUUCCUGUCAGUCAACUCUGUUAGACUUCCCCAGUUUUCCUUUCUGUCAAUGACUUCUUUCCUCUCAUCCCUUCUUACUCCCUCUCAUGUUUUCUAUCUUUCUGUUCUUCCAGGUCAUUUUUACCCCAAUUCCUAUUAUUUUAAUGCCUUUGUCCCUUCAUGCACUCCAUUGUAGCUUACUUCCUACUAUUCUCCAACUCCAUUUAUUUUAUCUUACCUUUUCCCCUUCCUCCUUCUAAAAGGGCCUCCUAAAAAGUUAGGUUGAUUAAAUAAAAUCAUUAGAGUUACUUUUAAUACUACCAUUUUUCAUCAUUAUAAAUGUUUUAAGGGUUUCUUGCAGUGGAGUGAUAGUUUCUUGUUCCCCUAAAGUACAGAAGGACUAUCAGGUCUCUGCUUAACUCUGGCCACUUAUCAUUAGAGAAACGAAUGUCCCUGCAGUUGCUGCCUAACCAGAUUGCAGUUCUGCUGGGCUGCAGCUACUGGAGGGAACAUUUUAAAUCACAGCAAACUUUGAAGUAUGAGGCUGGGGAGAUAGGGUCAAAACAAUCCUAAUUUCCCAGGUGAGUGUGGCAUCACAAAAAAAAAAAAAAAAAAAAAGGGAUUAUGACCUGAAUUGGUCUUCAGGGCUAGAUUACAGAGAAUCACCAUAACUUCAGCAAAGCUUUAACCCUCACCACCCCCGUGUAUUCUCCAGGGAGAAAGUGUCUUCCUGUUACUGGCUGUCCUUACAGAAAAACAUGCUUUUAUUAUUCCCUUGGACGAGGGACCUUUCAUAUUCAAUCUCACAGGCAAGCUACAGCUCUUUCUGCUAUAACAGAGCUCUGUAAUUACAGUUAUUAAUCUUAAAAUCAUGGGCUCUAAUUUAAAAGGUUUCUUGUAACCUGAAAGUCUUUCAAAAUAUAAUGGUGCAAAAAAUAAAUCACUCUCUGCAAGUGGCAUCUAUGCUUGGUAAAUGCCGGCAGUAAGAAGGAUAUAAACGUAUUCCCCAAACAGGUACCAUAAACUGAGAAAUAACACAGUGUCAACCAUAAACAUGUCUUUGCCAUAGCCUUGCCUAAAAAUCUUCUCACUCACAAACCUGAGAGAAGCCUUUCAAAUGCUAUUUCAAAAAGAAAAUCAAUAAACCUGCAGAAAGUCUAGCUGCCCUGAAAAGUUUCCACCAUAUCUCCAUGUCUGCUGCAUUUUCCA